rnacentral:rRNA from 1 species
UACGGAGGAUGCGAGCGUUAUCCGGAUUUAUUGGGUUUAAAGGGUGCGUAGGCGGCUUUUUAAGUCAGCGGUGAAAUUUUGCAGCUUAACUGUAACAGUGCCGUUGAUACUGGGGAGCUAGGAUUUGGUUGCUGUGGGUGGAAUGCGUGGUGUAGCGGUGAAAUGCUUAGAGAUCACACAGAAUAUCGAUUGCGAAGGCAGCUCACAAAGCCAAGAUUGACGCUGAGGCACGAAAGUGUGGGUAGCAAACAGGAUUA